AGGAUAAACGCUGGCGGCGUGCCUAACACAUGCAAGUCGAACGUCUCUUUCUUCGGGAAGAGGAGUGGCGGACGGGUGAGGAACACGUGGGAACCUGCCCUUCAGUGAGGAAUACCGGCGAGAAAUCGCCGACAAGACCGCAUAGCCCUCUCUGGUGAGAGCCAGAGAAGGAAAGCCUCGCAAGAGGCGCUGGAGGAGGGGCCUGCGUCCGAUUAGCUAGUUGGUGGGGUAAGAGCCUACCAAGGCGUCGAUCGGUAGCUGGUCUGAGAGGACGAUCAGCCACACUGGGAUUGAGAACGGCCCAGACUCCUACGGGGGCAGCAGUGAGGAAUUUUCGGCAAUGGGGAAACCCUGACCGAGCAACGCCGCGUGCAGGAAGAAGGUUUUCGGAUCGUAAACUGCUUUCGUCGGGGAAGAGAAUGGACGGUACCCGAGGAAGAGCCCGGCUAACUACGUGCCAGCAGCCGC
rnacentral:rRNA from 1 species